rnacentral:rRNA from 1 species
GACAGAGGGGGCAAGCGUUGCUCGGAAUCACUGGGCGUAAAGGGCGCGUAGGCGGGUCCGCAAGUCGGUCGUGAAAUGUCCGGGCUCAACCCGGAAGGGUCGGCCGAAACUGCGGGUCUUGAGGGGCGCAGAGGAGCCUGGAAUUCCCGGUGUAGCGGUGAAAUGUGUAGAGAUCGGGAGGAACACCGGUGGCGAAGGCGGGGCUCUGGGCGCACCCUGACGCUGAGGCGCGAAGGCGUGGGGAGCAAACGGG